rnacentral:rRNA from 1 species
CCUACGGGAGGCAGCAGUGGGGAAUAUUGCACAAUGGGGGAAACCCUGAUGCAGCGACGCCGCGUGAGUGAAGAAGUAAUUCGUUAUGGAAAGCUCUAUCAGCAGGGAAGAAAAUGACGGUACCUGAGUAAGAAGCCCCGGCUAACUACGUGCCAGCAGCCGCGGUAAUACGGAGGGGGCAAGCGUUAUCCGGAUUUACUGGGUGUAAAGGGAGCGUAGGCGGCAGUGCAAGUCUGGAGUGAAAGGCGGGGGCUCAACCCCCGGACUGCUCUGGAAACUGGACGGCUGGAGUGCAGGAGAGGUAAGUGGAAUGCGUGGUGUAGCGGUGAAAUGCGUAGAUAUUAGGAGGAACACCAGUGGCGAAGGCAGCUUACUGGACUGUAACUGACGUUGAGGCUCGAAAGCGUGGGGAGCAAACAGGAUUAGAUACCCCAGUAGUC